rnacentral:rRNA from 1 species
UACGUAGGGUGCAAGCGUUAAUCGGAAUUACUGGGCGUAAAGCGUGCGCAGGCGGUUAUGCAAGACAGAGGUGAAAUCCCCGGGCUCAACCUGGGAACUGCCUUUGUGACUGCAUGACUAGAGUACGGGUAGAGGGGGAUGGAAUUCCGCGUGUAGCAGUGAAAUGCGUAGAUAUGCGGAGGAACACCGAUGGCGAAGGCAAUCCCCUGGACCUGUACUGACGGCUCAUGCACGAAAGCGUGGGGAGCAAACAGG